rnacentral:tRNA from 1 species
AGACAACAAAAUGUUAAAUAUUAAUUUUGUCACCUUAGGUCGAUCGGUAUCUCACAUUCUUAAUUUAUUAAGAAUUUUUUUUCCUAAGUUUUUUCUAGGUCACACCCAUUUUUUUUCCUGGGCCAUUAGCUCAGGUGGUUAGAGCGCACCCCUGAUAAGGGUGAGGUCCCUGGUUCAAGUCCAGGAUGGCCCAUAUCUCUAUGUUGGGGGUAUAGCUCAGUUGGUAGAGCGCCUGCUUUGCAAGCAGGAUGUCAGCGGUUCGAGUCCGCUUACCUCCACUGAUUACCACCUCUUCCAUAUUUUUGAGAAGGGAAAUUUUUUGAGUUGUGAUCAAAUUCUGAACGAAUCUAGCUUCCUAAUAAACAUAUUAAGACGCUGGACUCAUUGAAUUAAUUUUCAUUGUUUUCAGAGAACCUUGACAACUGCAUAGAUUAUUUUUAAAGACAAUAAGCAUCUUUAAUGAUGCAGAUUUAUUAUUUGUGCGAAUGCAUUAAAUAACAAUUCUAUUAAGCUGAUGCUUCAAAUUUUUGAAGUUAUU